rnacentral:rRNA from 1 species
UGGCUGUCGUCAGCUCGUGUUUGUGAAAUGUUGGGUUAAGUCCCGCAACGAGCGCAACCCUUAUCCUUUGUUGCCAGCGGUCCGGCCGGGAACUCAAAGGAGACUGCCAGUGAUAAACUGGAGGAAGGUGGGGAUGACGUCAAGUCAUCAUGGCCCUUACGACCAGGGCUACACACGUGCUACAAUGGCGCAUACAAAGAGAAGCGACCUCGCGAGAGCAAGCGGACCUCAUAAAGUGCGUCGUAGUCCGGAUUGGAGUCUGCAACUCGACUCCAUGAAGUCGGAAUCGCUAGUAAUCGUGGAUCAGAAUGCCACGGUGAAUACGUUCCCGGGCCUUGUACACACCGCCCGUCACACCAUGGGAGUGGGUUGCAAAAGAAGUAGGUAGCUUAACCUUCGGGAGGGCGCUUACCACUUUGUGAUUCAUGACUGGGGUGAAGUCGUAACAAGGUAACCGUAGGGGAACCUGCGGUUGGAUCACCUCCUUACCUUAAAGAA